rnacentral:tRNA from 1 species
GCUUGAGUGGCUCAGUCGGUUUAGCAUCUGACUUUAGAUCAGGUCAUGAUUUCACGGUUCAUGGGUUCAAGCCCCACAUUGGGCA